rnacentral:tRNA from 2 species
UUAGGAUCGGUGAAAUUCGAUCAACGUGGAGGAAUAUUGUGUCUUUCGGCCUUCUAAGCCGUAGGUCACACGUUCGAAUCGUGUAGGGCGGGCCA